UGGAACAGGUCAGGCACCUGCCAUUCUGC
rnacentral:piRNA from 1 species